rnacentral:rRNA from 1 species
UACGAAGGGGGCUAGCGUUGCUCGGAAUUACUGGGCGUAAAGGGCGCGUAGGCGGAUAUUUAAGUCGGGGGGUGAAAGCCCAGGGCUCAACCCUGGAAUAGCCUUCGAUACUGGAUAUCUUGAGUUCGGGAGAGGUGAGUGGAACUCCGAGUGUAGAGGUGAAAUUCGUAGAUAUUCGGAAGAAACACCAGUGGCGAAGGCGACUCACUGGCCCGAUACUGACGCUGAGGCGCGAAAGCGUGGGGAGCAAACAGG